AUGCUUAACACAUGCAAGUCGAACGAGAUUGUUUUCUUCGGAAAACUUUAUUUCUAAGUGGCAGACGGCUGAGUAACGCGUAAGUAACUUACCCUAGAGUGGGGAAUAACACAGAGAAAUCUGUGCUAAUACCGCAUACGAUUUAUAGAUAAUUUUUAUAAAUGAAAGAUUUAUCGCUCUUGGAUGGGCUUGCGUCCUAUCAGGUUGUUGGCGGGGUAAUAGCCCACCAAGCCUAAGACGGGUAGCUGGUGUGAGAGCACGACCAGCCAGAGGGGGACUGAGACACGGCCCCCACUCCUACGGGAGGCAGCAGCUAAGAAUAUUGCACAAUGGACGAAAGUCUGAUGCAGCGACACCGCGUGAGGGAUGACAGCCUUAGGGUUGUAAACCUCUUUUAUUAGGGAAUAGCAAGGAAGGUACCUAAUGAAUAAGCUACGGCUAACUACGUGCCUGCAGCCGCGGUAAUACGUAGGUAGCGAACGUUGUCCGGAAUCACUGGGCGUAAAGGGUCCGUAGGCGGUUUAACAAGUCUCAUAUGAAAGCUUCAAGCUCAACUUGGAGAUGUUGUGAGAUACUGUUAGACUUGAGGCUGUUAGAGGCAAGUGGAAUUCCAGGUGUAGUGGUGAAAUGCGUAGAUAUCGGAAGGAACACCAGUGG
rnacentral:rRNA from 1 species